rnacentral:rRNA from 1 species
AGAGUUUGAUCAUGGCUCAGGACGAACGCUGGCGGCAGGCCUAACACAUGCAAGUCGAGCGCGCCUUCGGGCGAGCGGCGGACGGGUUAGUAACGCGUGGGAACGUGCCCAGAUCUACGGAAUAGCCACUGGAAACGGUGAGUAAUACCGUAUACGCCCUUCGGGGGAAAGAUUUAUCGGAUUUGGAUCGGCCCGCGUUAGAUUAGGUAGUUGGUGGGGUAACGGCCUACCAAGCCUACGAUCUAUAGCUGGUUUUAGAGGAUGAUCAGCAACACUGGGACUGAGACACGGCCCAGACUCCUACGGGAGGCAGCAGUGGGGAAUCUUGGACAAUGGGGGCAACCCUGAUCCAGCCAUGCCGCGUGAGUGAAGAAGGCCCUAGGGUCGUAAAACUCUUUCGCCUGUGAUGAUAAUGACAGUAGCAGGUAAAGAAACCCCGGCUAACUCCGUGCCAGCAGCCGCGGUAAUACGGAGGGGGUUAGCGUUGUUCGGAAUUACUGGGCGUAAAGCGCACGUAAGCGGAUUAGAAAGUUAGAGGUGAAAUCCCGGGGCUCAACCCCGGAACUGCCUUUAAAACUACUAGUCUAGAGUUCGAGAGAGGUGAGUGGAAUUCCGAGUGUAGAGGUGAAAUUCGUAGAUAUUCGGAGGAACACCAGUGGCGAAGGCGGCUCACUGGCUCGAUACUGACGCUGAGGUGCGAAAGUGUGGGGAGCAAACAGGAUUAGAUACCCUGGUAGUCCACACCGUAAACGAUGAAUGNCAGUCGUCGGGUAGUAUACUAUUCGGUGAC